rnacentral:rRNA from 1 species
UCCUGCAGCCAUGUCACUCUGCAACUUACAAUUGGUAGCCCACUGAAGCUAAGCAGGUGUGAGCCUGGUCAGUACGUGCAUGAGAGACCUCCUGGGAAAAACUAAGGUUGCUGCUGGAA